rnacentral:rRNA from 1 species
UACGGAGGGUGCGAGCGUUACCCGGAUUUACUGGGCGUAAAGGGCGUGUAGGCGGUCUUUCAAGUCCGAUGCUAAAGUCUGGGGCUCAACCCCAGGACUGCGUUGGAUACUGUGAGGCUAGACGGUCGGAGGGGGUAGCGGAAUUUCCGGAGUAGCGGUGAAAUGCGCAGAUACCGGAAGGAACGACAAUAGCGAAGGCAGCUACCUGGACGACUUGUGACGAUGAGGCGCGAAAGAGUGGGGAGCAAACCGG